rnacentral:rRNA from 1 species
AUUGAACGCUGGCGGCAGGCUUAACACAUGCAAGUCGAGCGGGGUGAUGGUGCUUGCACUAUCACUUAGCGGCGGACGGGUGAGUAAUGCUUAGGAAUCUGCCUAUUAGUGGGGGACAACAUCUCGAAAGGGAUGCUAAUACCGCAUACGUCCUACGGGAGAAAGCAGGGGAUCACUUGUGACCUUGCGCUAAUAGAUGAGCCUAAGUCGGAUUAGCUAGGUGGUGGGGUAAAGGCCUACCAAGGCGACGAUCGGUGGCGGGUCUGAGAGGAUGAUCCGCCACACUGGGACUGAGACACGGCCCAGACUCCUACGGGAGGCAGCAGUGGGGAAUAUUGGACAAUGGGGGGAACCCUGAUCCAGCCAUGCCGCGUGUGUGAAGAAGGCCUUAUGGUUGUAAAGCACUUUAAGCGAGGAUGAGGCUCUUUUGGUUAAUACCCAAGAUGAGUGGACGUUACUCGCAGAAUAAGCACCGGCUAACUCUGUGCCAGCCGCCGCGGUAA